AUGUCUUGGAUCCUUGAUCCAAUUAGUUUUCAGCCGAUCAAAUCAAAGUUUAAAAACACACAAACUGAUAUUAAGCAUCUCACAAACCAGAUUGAAUUGUCCAUCAGUGUGUUACCCUGCUACACAAAAUAUGCUAAACUGGGGGCUGUCCUUAAUACAGUCUCACCAAAGAUAAAAAAUCAAAGUUUAUAA